CCAGACAGCCAGGAUGUUGGCUUAGAAGCAGCCAUCAUUUAAAGAAAGCGUAAUAGCUCACUGGUCGAGUCGGCCUGCGCGGAAGAUGUAACGGGGCUAAACCAUGCACCGAAGCUGCGGCAGCGACRCUKAUGYGUUGUUGGGUAGGGGAGCGUUCUGUAAGCCUGYGAAGGUGURCUGUGAGGYAUGCUGGAGGUAUCAGAAGUGCGAAUGCUGACAUAAGUAACGAUAAAGCGGGUGAAAAGCCCGCUCGCCGGAAGACCAAGGGUUCCUGUCCAACGUUAAUCGGGGCAGGGUGAGUCGACCCCUAAGG
rnacentral:rRNA from 1 species